GGGGACCUCUCAACGACUUCUCGGGACUCAAACAUGGCAGUAACGGCUGCACCUUCCGAAUAUUCCUGCUUCUCAUUGGACAGUUAAUGCAGAGUCAUAACAACGUCCCUGAUUGGGGAGAGCGUGAACGCAGUCCCCCACUACCACAAAUUAUGCAGUUGAGUUUCCCGCAUUUGGGGAAAUCACAGGGGUCAGCACAUCCGGAGUGCAAUGGAUAAGCCUCGCCCUGGGAAAACCACCUUCGUGAUCAUGGUAUCUCCCCUGCCAGAAUUUGGUAAUUGAGAGAGAUUGUGAAUAUGGACAUGGUAGUCAGUGUGCAGAAGCCCAGAGAUGCUAGAGCACAUUGUUAAUGAAGACAUAUCUCCUGCAAUAGCAGUAUAUGAAAGCAGUUUGUAUAUAAGAGACAUCAUUGCCCAUUCACCCUCAGAUAUGCACUUCAGUGGUCAACAUGAAGGGAAACCAAAUGGGUAUCAGAAGAUGUGGAAAAGGAUUUAAACAUAAGAAAUGUUGGAAAAUUUUCAUUCAUUCUGAGUCUUUCUGUCUUUUUCACCUUACCUAGUAAUGCAUCCUCUGACAGAACAUGUUUGUCUCAUCCUCAAUGUCUUUGAUAUGAACUGUUUCUUGGUAAACACUGGUGGCCAAGUUUACCCCUGGGAUUUUAGUUUCUUGGAUGAAAUCACUGUGACUGUCUGGAGUAGAAAUAUGCAAAUAUAUUCUGUAGCAUUUAUUUUGCAUAGCCUGUAAGUGUUAUAGCUCUGAGGGAAAUGGUUUCCCCAAUGGAAGUGUUGUAGCUCUAAAGGGAAAGGUAUCCUGGCAGUUGGGAGCCAAGGAAUACUCCAAAGUAACUCCUCACAACAAACCACACAUGAGAUUUUUUUGGGAGAGGGACAAAAGGGUAGCUGCUUCUGUUCCAACAAGAAGCAGCAGGAAACUGAAGAGGAUAUAGGCUUACAUAGGGUUUUGUGAGGGAGGAUUUUUUCAGGGAGGAGACAUUCAGGGUAGAUAUUGGUGGGAUUUCAAGUCUUGAUCUUGGGGCAAGCCUAGGGAUUGGUGAAAUUUUGAGUUUAGGGACUGGUGGGUUUUCAAGUUCAGAGACUGGUACAUUUUUUUGGACUCAAGAAUUGGUUACAGGCAGACUUUCUUGUCCCACCAGCCAGUUCCUAAAUAACCACACAGAGACUUAUAUUAAUUAUAAAUGCUCAGCGGAUAGCUCAGGCUUAUUACUAACUAGCUCUUACCUUUUAAAUUAACCCAUAUUUCUUAUCUAUGCUCUGCCACAUGGUGGUACCUUUAUUCAACAUGGCAAGUUUAUCUUGCUUCUUUCCACAUCUCCUUGUGACUCUGAGACUCCUCCCUUCUUUUUCAUGUUCUUAUUUUGUCUGCUAACCUCAACCUGUCCAGCUAUUGGACAGUCAGCUUCUUUAUUAAACCAAUCACUGUGACAUAUAUACACAGUGUAAACAAAUAUUCCACAACUGGUGGGUUUUUUUGGUUUUUCCAACCAGGAAGUGAGCUCAGACCUUUCACUCUACAGAACCUAAAAGAAAAAAAAGAUCCAGAAUUCUCCAGGGAAGUUCUCAAGGUGAUUAGAAUGACAACUUCAGUCAUUAACAACAUGAUAAAUACACGUGCACUCAGACAUAUAAGUUGUUUAUGUACAGGCAGGUAGGUAACACUAUGGGUUCCAUCUCCCUAAGACUUAUAGCAUGGCAGACACUUGUUAGUAUGCUCUUCUCUUGGAUUUUUAUCUCCAAUUUUCUACAGACUCCAACUCUUGUCUGCACCUCUGACAGGUCUUUCUGCUUAAUUGGAAGAGAGUACCAUUACACUGUGAUGGGAAUGCAAUGAUUACUAGAUUUCUCCCCAGUGAGUUUUACUCAGUGGGGAUUUGAAAAUGCCACCCUCUAAUAUAAAACUUCAGCUCAAAUAAGUAACUUUUCACAUAUAUUCUUUUUCAGUAUUCAGGAUCCACAUGGCCUAGGGUAAGAAUGGAUUCAUCUAUAUUUGGCCCUUUUGUUUUCUAUUAGGAAUUCCUUUUCUUCUCUUGCCAGAUUUCUUUUUUAAUUUUAUCUUCUGGUUGACUCCUUUUCUUCUCUCAAAUGGAAAGAGAAUUUUCUUUUUAGUCUCCGUAUUUGAUGUUUGAAUUUUAUUCGGCUUUCUCUGCCAUGUCUGUUAUUCUUCAACCUUUGCAUACAUUCCAUGUUAGCUCUAUAGUAGAAAGGUUUUUUUAAAAUUCAAGAUUGGCACAGCACUUCAGGGAAUUCUUAAUGUUAGGCUAUACUCUGUGAAAAGAGAUGACACCAUUGAAUGCAGUGACUUCAGAAUCCCUCAUCAGAUUCUAAAGUGACAAGUAUUGUCUUUGUCAUCUGACACUUAGUUUGGAGCAGGAAUGUCAGAAUUAGAAUUUAGAUGUCUUCUCUGUUAUUGUAAAGCCUUCACUUUUCUCAGAUAAUUACAUACAAAUAUGUAUUUGCUUCAUGUUUUGAUUCUCAGACAAUUUAACCCUUUUCAGUGGUUUGAUCCAUGUUUUUAACAUGUUUCCUCAUGAAUUAUUAUGGCAUUCACAUAUGUAUUGGCUGCAAUGGUGCUUGGUAGAGCUGUUAAUUGGCCACUUUUAAAUCUGCAAGAUUAAGAGACAGUAUCACAUAAUUUGCUUCAAUUUCCUUGAUCAAGUUAAAGGAAAAUAAUCAUGUUUAUUUCUUUAUAAAAGAGUGUGCUUUAUUCUUUGCAGACAUUCCCAUAACUAUAGAGAAUCCAUGUAAUAAGGUUAUGUAAUGGAAUACAGCUUGUACUCAACUCUGAACACAACAAGGUGAAAUGGAAAUAUAUAAGCAAGACCUAGGCUUUGAAUCAAUAGAUGAAAAAUUGCUGACGAAAACACAGAAAUGAGGUAGAUUCAUUGAAUGUGCCAUAACUGCUUUUGUUAAUACUUUUGUAUGGUGCUGAAUUAACAGGGUAAGGAGUGGGGGCGGGCAAAGUACUCAGAUGUGAAAGGCCAUGUACUAAGGACAUCUUGACAGAUUUUUAAAAAAGGCAUAGAAAACAUGGCCAGAGAAAGUUGACCAUUAGAUGAAAUUUUUCAUGUGCAAUUCUAUUUGCCUUGGAGGUUGUGAUGGAUUGUAUAAGAAUGGCCUGCAUAGCCUCAUAUUUAAAUUCUCAGUCAUCAGGGAGUGGCAAUACUUGAGAAAGAUUAGGAGGUGUGUCCUUGUUGGAAUCCGUGUGAUCUUAUUGGAUGAAGUGUGCCACUGGGAAUGGGCUUUGAGGUUUCAAAAGCUCAAGUCAGACCUAGUGUUUGGCUUUCUCUGCUGCCUGUGGAUCCAGAUUAGAACUCUCAGAUACUUCUUCCAGCACCAUGUUUGCCUGUAGGCCACCAUGCUUCCUACCAUGAUAUUGUAGGUGGAACUGGCACAGCCAUAGCUGAAUGGAAUGGCAGAAGUCAUAAAGCCAACACAGCUGCUUGACAAAGAUCCAGCAAAGCUGAGCCACAUGAUGGCUGCCAUGCCACCUUUGGUUUUCAUCUCCACCUGUUACAUACUUGGGGCACUUUUAAUAUUUGUACAAUCUAGGGAUAUUGGAUGGAUGGAAAAUUCCUUAUUAAUCAUUUAUGCCUUCUCCCAGGAAUGCUGCUUCUAAGCUUCCCUAAGACAGUCCUGAUCAUACUAUUCCCCCACUUUUGGGGAGAUAUCCUUAUCUACUUGAAGGUCUUCCUUGCGCCUUGGAGGUUGUGACACAUAAAGAAGCCAGAGGUCUCUUCAUGAGGCUAUGAGACAUUCUUGAAACAUCUGUCCCUGUACUUACACAGGAACAAGUUAUUCAAACCAAAGUAAACUCAAAAGGUCAACAAGAUUGGUGGGUGAGAGGAGUUGUCCACAGUUCAGAUUACAAGCCUCUUCCCACUGUACACUCAGACAAUUAUGUGACAUACAACUCUGUCCUACACAGAGACAUACUGAUGAGCAAAAUAUGGAGUGGAAAGAUGAUAAAAGUAUGAGGUAUCAGGACCUCCCUCUUUUAGAAAUGUUAACUCAUGCAGAGCCACUAUGGUGACAUAUGCUGAAGGAACAACAGAAUGCCAGUAUUAGACAUAUAGACAAAUUCUAUAAAGAUAUAAAUGUGAACAUUGUAUUAUGCAAGAGUUUGAAUAAUAACUGCAGCAGCUUUGGCCUGAAGAUUUUUUCCUGGGCACUCUGAGCACUAAGAGUUAAUAAUACACUGCUUGGGACAUGGCAAAAUGCCCAGGGUGGCUUGAAGAUUUUUGUUUUGGUCUAGUGUCCUUGAAGUAACCAAAGCAACCAGCCUGAGAACAGGCUGUCAUAUGCCUCUAGAUUCUUAAAAAAUGGGUUAUGGGGUUAAUGAGUAAGAAUGAUAACUCUGUUUAUUAAUGAUGUCAAAACUUGAGGGAAAAUGAUUGGAAAUGAUAACUCUGUUCUGUUAUAAUUUAUUAAUAAUGACUAAAAGAUGAGCAAAAGGAAGUGAAACACAUGUCCAAAAACAAAAAUGAUAUGAUCUAUGUUUUGGAACAUCAUGGAUAUAUCCCUGUUUACUUAAUUCUGUAUAAAUAAAGAAAUACUCUGGCUGCUACUCAGUCAGGCUGGAAGAUUCUCCCAACCACCAUGGCCUGGCUCAUUUCCUUCUCCCUCUGGCUCCUUCCACCCUCUGCUGGUCCUGUCCCACUGGGGAUGACUCCCAUAUGCUUCCUCUCUGUCCAUAUCUCCUAAAAUGAAAGUAGAAGUAUCUUGUGUUUGAUUCCUCCAUUGCAAACUAAGAAGUGUUUCAUGUCUGAUUCCUCCAUCACCACUCCUGCAUCCACCCAUCCUCAGACCCUGCUCUCAUCUGGAGCUGGACUGCAGCAUGGAACAUUUUUCUCUCACCUACCUGUUCCCAAACACCUGGCAUAUGGUAGUGAUUCCAGCAAUGUGCAGCUCCAGCCUGUGCCAGUGGCUACAAAGCCACAGGAAAGCAGCUUUUUCAUGAAUUCAUGCCACACAUUGGGCACCAGACGUAGCAUGAAUUCUCAUUGCUCUUAAUAAUAAAAACCUGUAGUCAGAUAUCAGGGUGAAAACUAAAAGAUUAGAGAAGCAGAGCAGCCAGUCACUAGAAAGAUUUCUUAUCUCUACCAAAUACUGAGGCCAAGGAGGGGGCAAUGAGAUCCUAUCUCUACCUACAAAUCCUCAGACUGAAUGGACCGAGUUCCUGUCUCCACCCCACCUUAUCACUUCCUGUCUCCUCCCAACCAUAUCACUUCCUGUCUCUACCUCCCUGGUUGUGGGAUUGAAGGUGAGUGCUACCACUACCUGGCCUUUACUGGCUACCUCUGCCCUAUGAUUUUCAGGCAAGUUUUAUUAUUUGGAGUACAAAAAAAAAAGUCACCAUAUUUCCCCUUUUUUGUCUAAAAUAAAAAAGGUAUAACCAAUAUAAGAAAAACUAUAUACAAUAAGUACAAUAACUAUAUACAAUAUAUACAGUCAAGAAUUACAUUAACAAUGUUCAGUCCAUUAACAUUUGACAAAUUCAGAGAAAAUACUCUAUUAUUUACUUGUGGUAUUUUACUUGUACUGAAAUGUGAUUUUAAUUGUAUGUUAAUAAAUAAAGUUGUCUGGGGGUCAGAGCUAUUAGAGCCAUAGCAAGUGCGUGGCGGCGGUGGCGCACGCCUUUAAGGACCUGGAGGGCGGUACAUACAGGCAGUGACGAGGCAGUCACAUGUUUGGGUUUACAACCAAUGAGAAGGCAGAACAGAAAGACUAUAAAGACAGACACACAGGAAGUAGGUUCCUUUUCGGAGAGCUCUCUUGGCUGAAGAGGAUCCCUGAAUCAGGAAGGGUGAGGCUCUUAGCUCUGACCUCUUGGCUUUCUUCUCUGAAUUGGCUCUGUGUUUCUUAUUUAAUAAGACCGUUGGUUACAUCUACAAUUUACCCUAGUUUGGUGAGUCCAAAGUGUUGUACCUAAUUCACCUUCUAUCCUAAUUUGCAUUAUCACAAUUAUCUUUUAAUGUUUCUCAACCCUAUGCACUUUACACUUCUUAGUGAGUUUCUUUUCUGAAUCUGUAACAAGUAAUACUAUAACUAUAGCUAUCUAGUCUUCAACUCCCUCAGAGACCCAAGAAGGAAGCAAUAUUGCCUAAGUAAACAGGAAGUGCAAGCAAGUGACUUCCAAAAAAUAUGAGAAAUGACAGAAACAGCUGGCUGCCUGGACAGUCACCUGACAUUCCUCUGCAACAUUGAGGCAUCCAUCUUUGGCCUACAGACUGAGAAUAUCUGACAGACUUAUCUGUGAAACAGGAUUUUCUGAAGGGCUAUCCUAUCUUAAAAAAAGGACUGGCAAAAUUUGGCAGUCCUUUCCUUUGUUUCCCACUUGUCCCAUUUGGACAGCAUACUGUCAGCAGUCAAGCUAAUUUUGCCACAAAGAAAGUAAACUCCAUAUGGAGUUCCAUCAAUACCCAUCAUCUUCUCUGAAGUCUCAGACAUGUCUGAUUGUCAUAAAAAAAAGAGUCUAUGUUAUUAAAGCAUCUUAAAUGUCAUAUUGUGUAGAUGUCUAAAGUAUUUGAAGGCCACCUGUUUACCUAAAAUAUAUGUUUACCCUUGAAAACAUACAUAACAUGACUACAAGUUUAAUUGUAAUAGGUGAGUAACUACUAACCUGGAUUUCUUUAUUAUCCUAAUUAGAUGCUAAUAAUAACUUUCAGAGACUAGAAAUUUGCAUUGUAUUUUUAAAUGAGUUGUAUAAGUACAAUUGUGGGAUGACUCAUCCCUAACGGGCUUGAGGGCCAGAUGGCCCAAACAAGUAAAAAAGAUACUUUCUGAGAGCCAGCCUGGGUCUGCCUGAUGGUCUUAGCAACAGCAGCUGAAACAUGAUCUGAAGAUGACCUGGAUCAGUGAGAGGCAGCCAUGUCACACCAGCUGAUGCAUAUUCAUCAGACCUUCCCCCAGGGUGGGGUGGAGGGUAUAUAAGUCUUGCUUCUUCCUGAAUAAACUGAUCUUGUUGUUUCAACAUUC